AGGCCUUGCUGUAUUUCUGACUCACUGACUACAGGCAACAACUGGCUGCAGCCUGAAGCAUACAAUGCUGACAGCUUUAAACCUGCAUGUUGCCUGAAAAAGGCAUGUGCUGCCUUCAUGUUGCACUUCACGGCCAUUAAUACUUGUGUUAUAGUUAUGAAUCUGCGUUGUAAUGAGGCUCUGAUAAAGACCCUGAAGUUGCCGGAAGGAACUUGCUGUUCUCUUUACAAGGAACUUUUCUCAGAAAUCUGUGGCAAUUCCAGAAAAGAAAAGUCACUGCCUUAUGAAUCUGCAAAUCUCUCCCUUGAUGUACUAAAAGCCUGCUGUCAUGUCUCUCUGGAGAAUUCUCUUCUCCAGGCUGAACAGCCCCAGCCCUCUCAGCCUGUCCUCAUAGAGGAGGUGUUUCAUCCCUUGAAUCACUGUGGUCCUUCUCCAGAUGUGCUCUAACAGGAGUGGGAGAAAGAAUAUUGUUUAGCGGCUGGAAAGCAGCAGAGAGCUAAGAAUUGGCAGCUGUGCUGAGGGGGAUUGUCUGCCUGCCUGCAUAACCUGGGGUACCUUCUCUGUCAUCGGCUUGUCUGUACAGCCUCCAGAGAUCCUGUCACAGACACCUUCCCUGGUCAUAUUUUAAUGCUUACAACUUAAUGUGAUUGAAUUGAAUGCUAUGAUUAAGAUCAGUCUUUUCUUUGCCUUUCUUUUCCUUAGUUGGAAAGCGGAAGUCAACUGUCCAUUUCCUGUGUAAGUUGUUGAGGAUUUUUUGGUUUUUCUUUUUCAAUUAUUUCAUUUUUGAUAGAGAAACAUCUGAUUUUGGGCUGUGAUUGUAUUUCUUUCUGCAUUAGGUCCUAUUUUUGUUUGAAAACCUUUCUGAAAAAAAAAAAAAACACCUUUGUUUCUUGUUAGACAGAAUGCUAUCUGACUAGAUUUAAUGUAAAUAUUCUGGAGAGAACCUACAAUGAUUUAAUUUAACAACUCAUUAUUCAAAAACAAAUCCAGAAAAUGGUCUUUAGCUCUAAAUAAUUUCUCAAAAGGAAAAUGACAGUAAGCAUGAUGGCUGACUAUGUCUACUCAGGACCACCCUCCUCUAUAACAUAGUGCUCACUGUGGAAAUAGGCACAAGUGCAACAACAUUCAAGUGGAAAUACCUGGAGCUUCAUCAAAACCCUGAGAAGGAGAUGAAAACCUCUAAUCUCAUUAGACAACUAUUUCCUCCAUUUCUGAAGUUAUUACGAAUAUCACUGAGGUGACUAUGAGAUGUAUAGAUUUUCUUUCUGAAACUUCUGUAUUUCAAACCACAUAUAGCAGAAUCUAAUGAAAAGGCAGAAGAUAUGUCUGAAAACAAGUAAGCAGGCAGAAUAAGUGUUUUCUGAUGAAAGAUGGGACUAAAAGUCACUAAUGAUUACUGAGGAAUCUAUCACCUCCACCUGCUCUAAAAGCUGCUCAAGAUCUGUGUCUUGCUGUGAGUAGAUAUCCUAUAUUUCCUUGAUGCUGGAGGUAUGGUUAGCAAUCUGCAUAUAUUUAGCUUGCACAUCAGGCUCUCUAUAGCUUUCACCGGAGAGUAAGCUGCCUAUUGUACAUUUAAAAGACAUUUUUCUCCAGAAGAGAUCCUUUAAAAUAUAACAGGCCUAUUUGUCUUCUCUUGUGUGUGUUUAGGUUCUUUAAUUUUCCCAGACAGUUUUACUAAGUGACAAAUAUACUUAAGUUUAAACAAGUAAUUUCCCCUGGCUGGUAUUCCUUUUCUCUCAUCUACUUGAACCUGCAAUGAAUUUAAAAUGCUGAAUCUGUGCCUGGAUUUUCAAUGUCAAACACAAGAUUAUGUUUUCUGAGGCACAGCAGAAGGAGAACUUGAAGGAUAAAGCUAGUAUUCAAGGAAACAUCUGCAUUCUAAUCCGGGUGAAGCAAAAUAAAACAAGUUGCUUUUUUGGGGUUUAUAUGCUCUAACAUGUAGUUAGAACUUUCCUCAUGAGGAUCACCAGAGUUAAUUGUAGAGAGAUACCAUAUACACAACUGAAUACACUGCUGUGACAAAAAUGAAGAGAUUAACUUGCACCAUUUUAGCCCUUUGAUGGUAUCUGCUUUGUGGAAAUGUGGAUCAUCUUACCCCUAAACACUACUUUGCACUACACUAAAGGAACAAAAUGUUAACAUCUGGUGUUAGUACCAUAAAAAAUACGUUUGUUGUAACCACUCUUUAUCUGGCAAGAAUGUCCUUUUGUGCCUGUGCCUUCCAUUUCAGAACACACUGAUGUUCAUUGUCACCGUGGAGCAGUGGUAGGUGAGGAAAAUUGACUUAACACAUUUUAAAUUAGUAGACCUUGGAAAAUGAGAGUGGCUAAGAACAGUUAUGUUAGUAAUGGAAAACAUAAAUAAAGUGAAAUCCAGCUGUCAGUCUCAAAGUGUCAGAAAGAAAAAAAACAAAGGAAGUGCUAUGAAUUCAAAAUAUGUGCCAUAAUUAUAAUGCAGAAAGGGAGACAUUCAUGAGCUAAGCUGAUAAAAUCUUUCUGACUCACUAGAAGUGGAUUUUGCUGUUGGUCGUCAUUGCAUUUUCUCCAGAAACGGAAGUACAUACAGAAUGAUCUUGGACAAAGUGAGGCAGGAAAGCAAGCCUCCAGAGCGAAAAAAAAACCAACAAAAACA